GCGCAUGGAGGAUUAGUGGUUAGCAUGUUCGCCUCACACCUCCAGGAUCUGGGGUUCGAUUCCCCCCCGUGGCC